rnacentral:rRNA from 1 species
GACGAACGCUGGCGGCGUGCCUAAUACAUGCAAGUCGACCUUAGUGGCGAACGGUUUAUUAACACGUGGGUAACCUGCCCAUCAGAAGGGGAUAACACUUGGAAACAGGUGCUAAUUCCGUAUACUGUUGUAUGGACCCGCGGUGCAUUAGCUAGUUGGUGAGGUAACGGCUCACCAAGGCCACGAUGCAUAGCCGACCUGAUAGGGUGAUCGGCCACACUGGGACUGAGACACGGCCCAAACUCCUACGGGAGGCAGCAGUGGGGAAUAUUCGGCAAUGGGCGAAAGUCUGACCGAGCAACGCCGCGUGAGUGAAGAAGGUUUUCGGAUCGUAAAACUCUGUUGUUAGAGAAGCGGUAUCUAACCAGAAAGCCACGGCUAACUACGUGCCAGCAGCCGCGGUAAUUC